rnacentral:lncRNA from 1 species
CAAACAAUAACCGAAAAUGAUCGAUACAUAUUUUCACACAUUUCAAAGAGAUUGUUAAAGAUGAUUCCAUAUUCUUGGUCUCUGUAAUCUUUUUUAAAUCAAGAGUUAUAUAAACAUUUCCCAAUUAUGUCGCUCGAGGAUCCAUUCUUUGUUGUCAGAGAGUAAGUACUGUAAUCUUAGCAGAUAAAGACGACUGAAACGAAACAGAAACUCUCAGGCUUGUAAACGACUGUUUUAACCUAUAUUCUAAAGGUGUUACUAAACUGUCAGAAAGCUUUCGAGAUUUUCUCUUAAAUAAACUUCAUUACACGUGUAGUGAUCAUCUUUACCACAAAAUUAAAGAUUGCAUUUGAUUAGGUUACUUUUGAACAUGUUUAUUCUAGAAUUUAUUCUUAGUAUUAUUUCCUAAUCCUAUCUUUUUUCUUUGCCUUUUAAUAGUUUAAGUCUUUGGUAUUGGCUAUUAGGGUCCAUUUGCUCCCUUAAUAGUUUCCACCCUACAGAUUCAGUCACACCCUAUUUUUAUUUUCUCCAGCAAAGGUGUUGGGAGGGACACAAAAGUAUGGGGUGUUCUACUGUCCGUCUGUCUGUGCCUACUGCUACAUCCUGUUUAGUUUAUAGCAUUCUCAGAUGUAUGAGAAUAGAAAUGCGCUCUACCGUGAGUCAUCUGACAGUAAUAUGUGGCUACAAUUAGCACUAAAUUCGUCAAAAUAUCCUUAUGGUGAUAUGUCAGUGGUCUCAUCACUUGGCGUCCAUCGUCCUGCGUCCGACGUCCGUAAACUUUUACAAAAAUCUUGUCCUCUGACAUACCUGUCAACUGACCUGUAUUCUGUGGGUGUGACCCGAGAUUUUCACAAUUCUGAAGGAUCACCCGGAACACCCGCCAGGUCAUUGAAAUAACCUGGGAUUUCCGAAAAUGACCCGAUUUCACCCGUAUUUCUUAGCCUUGAGAUUGAUUUCAUAAGUAAUAUUCCUUUGAAAUACUGGCAAAUUCGUAAUUCUUCCAUGGACAGGAAGUUCAUCUAGCUAUGUAAACUGUCAAAUUAAGUGACCCAUUAAGUGCAUGGCUUCACUUGACAGCUUUGGUGUCAAACACACUGUUAAUUAACACCAAUUACCUUAGCUUUAGGUCGUAAAUAAAUUGCACCAUUGGUUGACAAACUGAACUAGAGUUACUUCCCCUUAUUUGUCACCAUUCAAAAUUAUUCCUUAUAUUUACGUUUUAUGGGUGAAAAAGAUUAAAUCAUAAAAAUAUAAAAUUCAAAUACAUACAUGUAUUGAAAAAUAACUUUUCAUUAUUUUUAUACCUUUAUACAAUUUUUUUUUAAAAAGUUGAAAAUUAUUUUUUACAUUUAAUACAUUUUUACUUCCUUUAACUGUAUUACUAUAUUUUAUCAUAGUCUAAUUUCCUUGUUAAAUGAAAAAUAUUAUGGUUAAAGGCUACAUCAUGUACUUAGUCAAUAGUCUCAAACAUUUAAGAAUUACAUUAAAUUCUGGUGUUUUUUAAAUUUAUAAAAAUAUUUAAUAAGAUUUAAAAUGACUUAACAAAGUGAACAUGCAUUGAUGUUUUGGUAUCUUUGAUAUACAUUAUAAGAAAAUGUACCAUAAAUACUGAAAUUCAGCUCGAAAAAGAUCGUACGCGUUGUGACCUGAGAUUUGAUUCUUCAAUGCAGGUCAUGACCUGCAUUUUUAUCGUCACAGGUUGACAGGUCUGCUCUGAAACUACUGGGCCAAAUUUAACCAAACUUGGCCACACUCAUCCUUGGGGUAUCUAGUUUAAAAGGUGUGUCCAAUGACCCGGCCAUCCAACCAAGGUGGCCGUCAUGGCUAAAAAUAGAACAUAGGGGUAAAAUGUAGAUUUUGGUUAAUAUCUCUGAAACCAAAGCAUUAAGAGCAAAUCUGACAUGGGGUUAAUUUAUUCAUCAGGUUAAGAUCUAUCUGCCCUGAAAUUUUCAGACAAAUGAUCUGACAACCUGUUGUUGGGUUGCUGCCCCCAAAUUAGUAAUUUCAAGAAAAUUUUGCAAUUUUUGGUUAUUAUCUUGAAUAUUAUAAAAGAUAGAGAUAAACUGUUAGCAGCAGUAAUGUUCAGCAAAGUAAGAUCUACAAAUAAGUCAACUCGACCAAAAUUGUCAGUUGACCUCUUAAGGAGUUAAUUAUUGCCCUUUAUAGUCAUUUUUAACAAUUUUUCUAAAAUUUUAGUAAUCUUUUUAAAAAAUCUUCUCCUCUGAAACUACUUGACCAAAUUUAACCAAACUUGGCAACCGUCAUUUUAAGGGUAUGUAGUUACAAUAAUGUGUCCAAUGGCCUCAUCCACAAACCAAGAUGGCCGACAUGGCUAAAAAUAGUACAUAGGGGUAAAAUGCAAUUUUUUACUUUUAUCUCUGAAUUCAAAGCGUUUAGAGCAAAUCUCAUUCAUUUAAAUUUGUUCAAUAAGUCAAGAUCUAACUGCCUAGUCAACCUGUUGUUGGGUUCCUGUCCCUGAAUUGGUAAUUUUAAGAAAAUUUUGCAGUUUUUGUUAUUAUCUUCAAUAUUAUCUUAGAUAAAGAUAAACUGUAAACAACAAUUAUGUAAAGCAAAAUAAGAUCUAGAAAUAAGUCAACUUGAGCAAAACUGUCAAUUGACCCCUUAAGGAGUUUUUGCUCUUUAUAGUAAAUUUUAAACAAUUUUCGUAAAUUUAUCAUGUUUAUGUAAAUUUUUGUAAACUUUUACAAAACAUUUUCCUUUGAAACUACUGAGCCAAGUUCAUUAUAGAUAAAGAAAAAUUGUAAGCAGCAAGAAUGUUCAGUAAAGUUAGAUUGAAAAACACAUCAUCAUCACCAAAACAUAAUUUUCUCAUGAAUUCUAUUCUCAUCUAAUAUGUAUGUCCUUUGUUUAGUAUGAUCAUAGACCAAGGUGAGGGACACAGGCUCUUUAGAGCCUCUAGUUUUUUUCAAACUCACAAUUAAAAUAUUUUGAAUAGCAUGAAAAGAGCCAUUUCAAUGAAAUUAAAAUUAGUAAAGUUGUGAACACUCACAAAUUAAAAAUAUAACUAAUGAUAUCAUAUUGAAAUUGCAUAAUAAGAAUGGUUUAAUAGUACCAAUGGUUUUAUUCCAACUGUCAUGACUAUUACUGUAUUUAGAUUAAAACCUUAUUUUAAUAUCAUAUAUACUCAUAUGUAAAUACAUACCUUGCAUUUAAAUCUCUCUUGAAUUUUCAGUGAAGUACAGAAGGCCUUGCAAUCUGCCACAAGUCUUUAUGAGAGAUGGAGUGAGUUAAUUAAUAACCCUAAGAGUGUAUCUAAGGAGGAAUAUGAUUGGACAACCAAUGAAUUGAGGAACAGUUUGCGGAGUAUAGAUUGGGACCUGGAAGAUCUAGAAGAAACCAUUGGUAUCCUUACACAUUGAAUAACUACAUUUAUCAUAUACUUAGCAUUAAUAUGAUAGCUUUUGCAUAUGUGUAAUGAGCGGAAGUACAUUUUGUACACAAGCCAUAAUUUCCCACCCGGGCUGAUAACCCAUAUCAGGUGCAUCUCAUGCACAAAACCCAUAAUAGUGCCUCUUCUGCAAGUUACUUCCGGUAUUUCCAGUAUCGGUUGUUGACUUUUCCAUUGUGACGUCAGAUAUUUUUUAUGACGACGUCAAAAUUUACGGGAACUUUUGUGGGGAUAGUUUAGUACUUGCUAACAAAUGCCAUUGACAAUUAUGAAUCAUUUUAUAGUACAACAAACAUGGAUUAAUAAGAAUCAUAAAACUCUUACUUUUCAAUGUUUCAAAACGCCUCUAUAGGAAAUACUAACAUAAAUAAAUAUGGAGGUAGUGAUGUUAUUGUUGGGCAAUUAUAGUGUAUUUUUUUGAUUCAUAAUUUUUAGUUAUGUUUUAGUAUUUUAUUUGUUAAUUUGCCAUACAUAAAACAAUUGUCGGAAGUAUAUGAUAAAGAGAUUAAUACAUGGCCUUUUCCAUAUCAGCCCGGGUAUCAUCCCUCGACCCAUAUCAGCACCUCGACUACGUCUCAGGCUGAUAUGGGGGUCUCGGGAUGAUUCACUGGCCGAUAUGGAAAAGGCCAUGUUCUAAUCUCUAUUUAUCACAUAUUUUGUACUGAUAUGUACGUUUUUGCAUGGCCAAUAAUAGCCGGAAGUCAAGGUUGGUUAUCAGCCCUCGGGGCCAAUAUUGAUAUCAGCCCUCGAAAUCCAUAUCGAGCCCCUGAGUUUAACUUCUGGUAACCUGUCAAUCAAAAACUAUUUGUAAACAAGUUGUCAUCUGAAGCAGCUAGAUGAUCAGGAGAGUUUUCUCACAGAUCAAAUGACGAUGCAUGUAAAUUCAUACAAGAAAUGACAAAUGAGAAAACAAUUGCAAUUACAUGUAGGCUAGAUUUAGAAAAUGUUUUACUCAGCAUAUCAUUAAUUUAGGAAUUUGUUAAAGUUACCUUUUUGUUGUUAGAAGAAUAUGGAUUCUUGGAAGUUUUCUUUUCUAUUGUAAGAUGUGUCUUUCACUAAUCCUUUUCAUUAAUAAUCUAAGUUCUUUUUUCAUAUUUUUAAUGGUAGUAAUAAAGUAAUGUUAAUGAGCUGAUGAUACUUUCUUUUAGUUUUUGGAAAGAUUAGAACUUGUUCUAAAUCUUUACUAAGGCACCUGCCUCCCUUACAACACGACAGGUUAGCUACUGUUACUAAAUGUAUUCACACUGAAAUAUAGUUCCCUAUGGUUUCUCAUGUAUGUUCACAUAGUACACAUAUAAACUGAUAAAUGGGUAUAUAAUUAUAACAAAUCAUUUUAAAUGUCCUGGAUUUUUAACAGGCACAAUCUUAGAGGGAAAAUAAUCAAAGUCUUGAAAAUUGGAAUCAUUAUUCAAUAAUUUUGCUUAAAAAACGGAGAGGUGUGAUGGUUUAACAACUCAAACAAGAAAAGGAGACUGGUGGUAUUAUUUAACUUUUAAGUUUGACAUUUUCAUUAAUUGCGUUCUUUAACUAUCUCAGAUAUUGUUGAGAAAAAUUUGAAAAAGUUUAAAAUAGAUGAAUCAGAACUUGAAGACAGAAGAUCUUUUAUUAGAAGGACACGAGUCUCUGUAAAGGUAAGCAUAGAGAAGCUAGAUAUGAAUAAAAUGAGAUGUUGAGUAUAUGUCAUUGAGACAGCAAUCUAACAACACAAAAAAGCAAAGAACAUCUCUACGUCAACAAUACAGUCUUCAACAGCAGACUGAUGUCCAUACAAUAUAUCAAACUCUUAAGUUGCCCGAUUCGAAAGAAAUGAAAUUUAACAGGUUUGUAAUAAAACGAUUCUCUAGAGCCCAUAAACAGUCUCUUACAACAGCCAAGUGACCACACUGUAAGAAGCUAUGUACCGAUGCGUGUAUAAACAAGUUUUGAUUAAAUUCAUAAGAGAUGACCCAAGAUCUAACAUCAAUCUUUACAUUCUAAUGAGACAGAAUUCAUAAAAAAAGACAGAAUCAACCACAGACAGACUUUUUGGCUGGCACUUUCAAAUGUCACAACUUCAAUGUCAUAUGAAAAUGUUUUAUUGCAAUAUAAUGUAAUAUUUUAGUCUCCAUUUCCUAACAGAGCAAUGAAAUGACAUUAAAUUCAGAUCACUUUUAAAUUUUUGCCUUUAAAUGAUGAUAUUUGUGUUAAACUAUGUUCAGUUUAUACAAAAUAUUCAAUCUUGAUGCAUCUGUGGACUCACCAGUUUUAAAAAUGGUGAGUCCAGACAGAUUUUGAUGAGUUCAGGACUCAUGGACUUGCCUUAGUGAGAACCCUGAUAUGAAAACCAACUUAUAAGUAAUAGCAUACUAUGUGGUAUGGGUGUUGCUCAUUCAUGUUGAUCUAUAGUUAUUAACUUCUACCUAAUUUGGUUUCUGGUGAAGAGUUGUCUCAUUGCAAUCAUACCAUCUUAUUUUUACUAUGAUAUUUUUGCAAAAUGAUAUUAUUUAAAUACAAUUGACAUCAGACUUACAAAAAAAACACUGCAUUAAUUUUGAAGUUCUACAAAUUAGGAUUUAUUUUAUUUCAUUGCAUUUAUUUGAAAUUGUAUUGUAGUCAAUGAAGGAUAAUUUAUCCAGUAAACAGACAAAGGGGAAAGAUGAAACCAAUGUGAGACAGGUAAUGUUUUUAUAUUUGAUUAGAUAGUUAUCAAAGGUACCAGGAUUAUAAUUUAGUACGCCAGACGUGCGUUUCGUCUUCAAAAGACUCAUCAGUGACGCUCAUAUCAAAAUAUUUAUAAAGCCAAACAAUAUUCCAUUUGUUUAUACAGUCACACAAUCAAAACAUCAAAUUCAUGAAUAACAGAUUUGUGUAAUUGAAAACUUUUAUUUGUCUUAGUGUUAGCUAUGGAGAUUUUGUAUAUCGUCAAUUUACUGGAAUUCCAAGUGUGACUGACUGUACACCACUUAUUGCAGACCUGUUUCUGUAUAAUUAUGAGUUAGAAUUUAUGACUAUAACCAGCAAAGACCCAUGGAAACAACGUCUGAUACAAAAAUUUAAUAUAAACACUUUUAGAUAUUUGGAUGAUAUAUCAUGUUACAAGAUUCAUGUAUAUUGGCUCUCAAUAAUGAAGACUUCAGUAAUAAUGUAUUUUGCUGAACUGACUUAAAAUAAAGGUAAUACUAACAAUAAACACUGCACUUUCCUUGAUCUUUCCAUUUUAUUAAUUUUUAUGGCCCUGCAACGAAGUUGUCGGUGCCAUAUAGUUUUACCCUUGUCCGUCAUUCUGAAAUUCCGUCAUUCCGUCAUUCCGCAACAAACCAUUAUACAGAGUUUUUUUUUAAAUGCCUUCAGAUAUUGGGCUGAUUUUUGGUAUGUGAGUUAACCAUGAUGAGUUACAGAUCAAGUUUAAGUUUUGUUCUGCUCCACUAAUUUUUGCCGAAAUUACGGGCUUUGGACUUUAAGAAAUUGUUGAAAAUCACAGUUAUACAGACUUUUUUUCUAAACACCUUCAGAUAUUGGGCUGAUUUUUGGUAUGUGAGUUAACCAUGAUGAGUUAUAGGUCAAGCUUAAGUUUUGUUCCCGCUCCGCUAAUUUUCGCUGAAAUUACAAGCGUUGGACUUUGAUAAGUUAUUGAAAAUCACAGUUAUAUGGAUUUUUUCUCUAUUCCCCUCCAGAUUUUGAGCUGAUUUUUGAUAUGUGAGACUACCAUCAUGUUUGUGUCCACAUGUGUUUAUAUUGAAAUUGCAGAUUUUUCAACUUUUUGGGACGGGGCCAUUCGUGUCGCUUUGACACAUCUAGUUCUUUAUUUAUAAAAGAAUUGAAUGUUUCUUUUCAUAGUUUUAUUGGGGCAUGACAGUGUUUGGUGAAGCAUAUAAUGUCACUGAUUUCUUUGGAUUUGAUAUAAUUUAAUAAAAUGAAAUAACUGUAAACAUGACAAAAUUAUAGAAAUUUUCUUAAAUUAAAAGCAGUUAUUUGAUACUUUGUUUCUUGUAGGCAUUGCUUAGUAAUGGACCAAAUAGACCUCAUGACAAAUACACACGGUUAGACCAAGAAAUGGAGAGGUCCAAUCAGCGAUAUAUAGAGGACACAUCUCAACAACAACAGGUAACACAUAUAAAUGUUUCAGUAACAAUGUUAACUAUAAAGACAUAUAAAUGUCUGAACCAAAUUUUGAUCGUCUGAAAAAUAAAUUUUAGUGUUAUUUCAAAAACAAAGGAUAAUAGUUUGAUAAUCAGGGAAAUAAUGUUACAAACAAAUUACUUAUAAAAUGACAGAAGUUGAUAUUUGUUGAACAGAACAAUAUUUUGCUAAUUUUAUGGUUAUUUGAAUUAUUUCCCUUUAAUAGUAGCAGAUUAAAAAAAUUGCUUUAGAAAAUAAUUUCAAAUUACAAUUAUGCACAACUUGCUGUUAGAAAACAGAGCUAUAGACAUACAAAACAAUGUUUUGAACUAAUUAUCUAUUAGAUCUAUUUAUGAUACAAGUUUUCAUGUCACAGUUAAACCUUCUAAAUCAGUGAGUCAUAUUAUGGUAAGUCAUCAUUUUGUUUGAUAUGUAUGACAAAGACAUCAUGUAACUAUUUAACUUGAACUGUAUAGUAAGUAUUAAUUUUUAUUUCACAGAACUCACUUCAUACUAACAACCUUUCACUUGAGCAAUCUGCUAAAAUAUUUUACCAUUUGAUCAGUUAGUUGGAGAAGAAAUCUAACUGCAAUUUGGUAAAGUGUUUUAGACAUUGCUAUUGUGAUACCACAAAGGUGACAGGAUAAGUACUGUAAAACAUUUGUUUUUGUGUAUUUAAUCUUUAUUUGAUUGAUUUGUUGCAGUUGAUCAUGAGAACACAAGAUGACAACAUGGAUCUUAUCAGCAAAAGUGUUGGAUCUUUGAAGAACAUGAGUCAACAAAUAGGCAGCGAACUAGAGGAGCAAAAUGUGUAAGAAAUUACAUACUCUAAAUUGAAAUUUUUUAAAACAUUUUUUACUAUUCAUCCACCAUGACAACUAUAAAAUCACAAAAAACCUGGUGACAGAGAAAAUGCCUGACACCACAGACCAGGGCCAAAGUGAUUUUUGUAUGAAGUCAAUAGGUCAAGUGUUGCAGAAUUACAAAUAGUAAUAUAUUGAUAUAUUGUCGAGCCUGCAACUUUUGUUGCAGAAAGCUCGACAUAGGGAUAGUGAUCCGGCGGCAGCGGGGGCAGUGUUAGCUAACUUCUUAAAAGCUUUAUAUUUUAGAAGGUGGAAGACCUGGAUGCUUCAUACUUUGUAUAUAGAUGCCUCAUGUACAAGUCAGUCACAUGUCCAAUGUCCUUGACCUCAUUUCAUGGUUCAGUGACCACUUGAAAAAAAAGUUCAAAUUUUUUGUAUGUUGAAUUCUGCUUUUAUUAUAAGUAAUAGGAUAACUAUAUUCAUAUGUGGGUCCUUGCAAGUCCUCAUGUCUGUCAGACAGUUUUCACUUGACCUCGACCUCAUUUCAUGGAUCAGUGAACAAGUUAAGUUUUGGUGGGUCAAGUCCAUAUCUCAGAUACUAUAAGCAUAGGGCUAGUAUAUUCGUGUAUGGAAGGCUGUAAGGUGUACAUGUCCAACUGGCAGGUGUCAUCUGACCUUGACCUCAUUUUCAUGGUUCAGUGGUUAUAGUUAAAUUUUUGUGUUUUGGUCUGUUUUUCUCAUACUAUAUGCAAUAGGUCUACUAUAUUUGUUGUAUGGAAUGAUAGUAAGGUGAUCAUGUCUAGCGGGCAGAUGUCAUGUGACCUUGACCUCAUUUUCAUGGUUCAGUGGUCAAUGUUAAGUUUUUGAGUUUUUGUAUUUUUAUCUAAUGCUAUAUGCUAUAGGUCAACUAUAUUUGGUGAUAUUUUAUGAUCUUUAUGUCAGUCGUGCAGGUUUUAUUUGACCGUGACCUCAUUUUCACGGUUCAUUGCACUGUGUUAAGUUUUUGUGUUUUGGUCUAUUUUUCUUAAACUAUAAGUAAUAGGUCAACUAUAUAUGUUGUAUAGAAGCAUUUUUAGCUGUACAUGUCUGCCUGGCAUGGUUCAUUUGACCUUGACCUCAUUUUCAAGGUUCAUUGGUCUUUGUUUAGUUAUCUUGGUUAAUGUAAGUUUAUGUGACAGUUGUUAUAAAGCUUAACUUUUAUACUUAAGACUAUCAACAUAAUAUCAAUGACUAGUAUAGAAGGCGAGACAUUUCAGCGUGUGCACUCUUGUUUAAAACAAAAAAAAUUAUUUUGUGUGUUUGAGUUGGCGUCUUGCAGGCGUUAACUUUAAAUUUCCUUUUUGUCGAGCCUUCGACUUUAGUCGAAAAAGCGAGACUAAGCGAUCCUACAUUCCGUUGGCGGCGGCGGCAUCCACAAAUAUUCACUCUGUGGUAAAAAAUUUUUAAAUUUUAUAGCGAACCCUAUGAUAGUUUUCCAUAGAUUCACCUGCAAGUUACCUGUCGAUUUAAACUUUUGUAAGUUCUAUUGUCCAUCUAACAAAUACAACAGGUAUUGUUCUCUGUAUAGUUCAUUCACCAAGACCUUUAAAUUUCUUCUAGGAGAAAAUAUCACUCAUUGAUUAAUUUACUGACCAAAAAAUUAUCUGUUUUUUUAUUGAAAUACUUCUAUAAACUCACACAAACUGUAUGCAAUAUUGUAUUUAUUCAAUAUACUAUUAAUAUAUUUUCAAUCUGUUCAAUAUAAAAUCUGAUUUAAUAAUAAAAAGUAUAUUUUAGACACAUUUUUUAGUAUUUUCCAAAGAAUUUGCCAUGUUUUUGUUGUUGUUAAUUUAUAGACUAUGUUUAUGAGACCUUAAUUAAAAAUAAUAAUAUUCAAAUUUUUAUUUAUCAAACACACAAAAAUAUUUAUUGAAUAUUUGAUCAGAAAUCAACUUUUAAUUUUUAAAUCAUUAUUAAUAUUGAACACAUUAAAUACAAGUUUUUGGUUUUGAAUAAAUACAACACCACAUGCAGUUUUGUGAGUCCUUUCUUAGUAUUGGUAUAAGUAUUUUUUCAUCAUUGACAGUUCCAUUUUUUGUUCAGGUAAAUUAAUCAAUGAGUGAUAUAUUUCUCCUAGGUGAAAUUUAAAGGUCCCAGUGAAUAAACUACACAGAGAACAAUACCUGUUGUAUUUGUUAGAUGGGACAAUAGAACUGCCAAAAGUUUAAAUCGACAGGUAACUUGCAGGUGAAUCUAUGGAAAACUAUCAUAGGGUUCGCUAUAAUAACUUUCUUAAACUAUACUGGAUUUCUACCAAACUUGGACAGUAGCUUGUUUAUGAUCAUAAGAUAGUAUCCAGAAGUAAAUUUUCUUCCAGUUAACAUUACAUACAGUUUGCAGUUAAAGUUUUCAAAACAUUUAUAAGAUUCAUUAACUAUCCUAAAUUUUUACCAAACUUGGACAGAAGCUUCUUACAAUCAUAAGAUAGUAUCAAGAGGAAUAUUUUUAUUGAUUUUUUUUCUCAUUUUUGUUGAGCCUGAGAUUUACAGCAAAAGUAAGCGAGACACUGGGUUCCGCGGAACCCUUACAAAUUUUAUUUAAUAAAACAUGCUGAGAUUUUGAAUGAACUUAAGAGUAAUGUAUUCUGCUCCAAAUGAUGCAUUUGCAGAGUUAUUCUGGGUAAUAAUGAAUUACAUUUAUUUCUUUUUGCAAAAAUUACAUAAAAGGGAAAAUGAUAAAAAGAGGUUAACCAUAAGAUAAACAUGUUUGAUAAUGAAAAUUUCAAAUACAGCAUGAAGACUGCAACCACUAUAUUAUAGGUUCCAGGAUUAAAACAAGUCAAGAUUACAACAUUUGGGAUUUGUCUAUCAGCAAAACAAACCAACAAACUUUAAUAAACAUUUAAAAUAGACAAAUUAGACAGGUCUUAACUGAGGACAAAAUACUAAAUAAAUAACAAAAAAUAACAAAGGACUAGGUCAGGUAAGGGCCGAUUUUGGCCUAAAAUUUCAGGUUCAUCUAACGAAAGAUUUUGAACACUUUUUAAACACUUAAGUGUCUAUUUAAAUUGAUUCAAUUAGUUUAUGUGAAAGAUUUUAACUGAUUUACCCAUAGUCAUUAAAAAUGCUCCGAUUCAAGCUUAAACAUGAAAAAUCUAUCAAAUAUGCCAAAAAACGUCACUUUUCAGAUAGUUUUUAGUCAAAAAUGAAAGUGGCCGCAUCCGUGUUCAUCCUCAACUUUUAUAUAUGUUAUGUAUUAUCAUCAAAUACAACUUACAUUUCAAUAUUAUGAAUGAACACUAAUGCGUCCACUUUCAUUUAAGACGGAAACCGUCUAAAAUUUAACUAAAAUUGGGAAGAUUUCAGUAAUUUAGCAUGACUUAAUGAUGCUAGUACCCGAUAUAUGUGCAUUGUGUUGUCAAAAACAGCCUAUAUUUAUGUAACAGAAGCAUUCUGCUUUCCAGUAAAUAGCUAAAAGAUUACAUUUUCACAAUUUUGUAAAACUGCUAUAUUUUGGGGCCAAAAAGGGGUCUUACUGAACCUACUCCUUUCAUGGAUUAUUGGUGUUUAACAACACUUAGAGCACCUUUUAUUGCAGCCAUUUAUUAUUGGUUGAGGAAGCUAAAGUAAGGGGAGAUAACCACCAAUCUUUGACAGGAAAACUGGUAAUCUUACUCAAUUAAGAUCAGAAUCAAACAUUGUGCUUUGAGCAGAAUUUUGACUCAGAACUGCAAUGUUUGCAUGGUUAGCAGACUAGUGUUUAUGUUAUGACAUGUAAAUGAGAAUUGGUUACUUUAUGUUACAGUAUGUUAGAUGAGUUUCAUACAGAAAUGGAUCACACAGAGAGUAGAAUGGAUGUCACGAUGAAGAAAUUGGCUAAAGUUAUGCAUAUGUCAAAUGGUAGGUCUUCUAAAUUGAUUUACCUAACUUUGUUAAAAAGUAGUCAUUUUUGAAUAUCAUUAAAAUAAUUAAUUUCCUAUUCUUUAGGAAAAGAUAAAAUAUAAAAAUUCAUGAUUUAUUUUUUGACUUUAUGAAGUCUUUUUUUGUCUUAAAUGCUCCCUGUGUAAUACUUUAGGCAUAACCAAUAAGCAUGCAUUUUAUGAAGUUACAUAUAGAAAGUAAUAUACCAAAAGAAGUUUGUAUUUUUAUUUUUCAGAUAAAAGACAGUGGUGUGGAAUAUUUGUGUUGAUUGGCAUUUUGAUUGUGAUUAUUAUAUUUUUCUUUGUUUUAUGAUAUCUUAAAGUUGUUAUUUUUACAGAUAUUUAUAUGUAUGAGAAGUCUAUUUUAAGAAGCAAAAAGGAAACAUUGGCUAGAGUAGCUUUAGUUAGAAUGUACACUAUUGAGCCUUAUCAUGCAUGUUGAGAUUAAUGACUGAUUGAUUGCUGGUUUUAGAUAGCCACGCCAACAUACAAUGGCCAUGUCGUUGUAGUGUAUAGAUACGUAGUACACUGUGUGGAAGGGACCAUUAACGUACAGCAGUGCAAUAGCUGUGUAAUUUUUAUCACUACCACUAAUUCUUGUAUAAGGUUGUAAAAUUUUAUCAGAUGUAUUGAGUUAAAAAAGUUAUCAUUUGUUAAAUGAUUUGUAUGUUUUCCUAUGAUAUAGUGUAACUAACAGUAGCAUUCAAACUGCAGGCGAAAGGAAGAUUGACCUUAUUAUUUUGAUUUUAUUUGCAGGAGAAAAAGUCUAGUCAAAAAGAUUACCUAAACUUGUAUUAAUGUUUUCCUUAGUUAUAUGAAAAUAGCAAACUUGCAUAUGGUGUCCAGUUAAGCCAGCUAUAUGCUGGACCAUAAUGAGAUUUGGCAGACAAGUCUGGUAAAUACAACCGUUUUGAAACCCAUGGCCAAAGGGUUGAAAUACUUCCCUUGGAUUUUUAACAAAAUUAAUUUUUCUCAUGAAUUUCAGAGUUUAGAUUUUGUCUUGUCUUGUCUUGAACAGAUAUAUAAUGUUAAUUAUGUACACGAAAAAAAUACCUUGCCAGCC